CUCCAUUGAAAACUCCCUUCUGGGCAUUGGAGGCACGGGCAACAACUUCACAAUCCCUAUCUUGUGGAGAUGAUCGAGGGAAGGAGAGGCAAGAAGGGAGGGGGCCUCCUCCGAGCCCAGCGAUCCUACCAGCACCUGUCACCAGCCGUGCUCGCCCUCCCAGGCUGCAGACGACAAUGGGUCAGGCCCUGAAGCACCAUUCAUGCAGGCGGAAGACUGCACACCAUCAGCAACGCGCUAUACCAGUCACCCAUCCACAAGCAAG